rnacentral:rRNA from 1 species
GACGGAGGAUGCAAGUGUUAUCCGGAAUCACUGGGCGUAAAGCGUCUGUAGGUGGUUCGAAAAGUCCACUGUUAAAAAUUGAGGCUUAACCUCAAAGAUGCCGUGGAAACUUUCAAACUAGAGUAUGGUAGGGGUAGAGGGAAUUUCCAGCGGAGCGGUGAAAUGCGUAGAUAUUGGAAAGACCACCGAUGGCGAAGGCACUCUACUGGGCCAUUACUGACACUGAGAGACGAAAGCUAGGGGAGCAAAUGGG